rnacentral:rRNA from 1 species
UAAUACGGGGGGGGCAAGCGUUGUUCGGAAUUAUUGGGCGUAAAGAGCGUGUAGGCGGUAAGGUAAGUCAAACGUGAAAGUCCCUGGCUCAACUGGGGAAUUGCGUUUGAUACUGCUUUUCUAGAGUGCGGGAGAGGAGAGUGGAAUUCCUAGUGUAGCGGUGAAAUGCGUAGAUAUUAGGAAGAACACCGGUGGCGAAGGCGGCUCUCUGGACCGUUACUGACGCUGAGACGCGAAAGCUAGGGGAGCAAACGGGAUUAGAUACCCCGGUAGUCCUAGCCGUAAACGAUGGGCACUAGGUGAGGGAGGUAUCGACCCCUUCCGUGCCGUAGCUAACGCAUUAAGUGCCCCGCCUGGGGAGUACGGUCGCAAGGCUG